AGUCGAGGGGUAUAGUAGCAAUACUAGAGACCGGCGCACGGGUGCGUAACGCGUAUGCAAUCUACCUUUUGCAGAGGGAUAGCCCAGAGAAAUUUGGAUUAAUACCUCAUAGUAUAACGACUCGGCAUCGAGAUGUUAUUAAAGUCACAACGGCAAAAGAUGAGCAUGCGUCCCAUUAGUUAGUUGGUAAGGUAACGGCUUACCAAGACUACGAUGGGUAGGGGUCCUGAGAGGGAGAUCCCCCACACUGGUACUGAGACACGGACCAGACUCCUACGGGAGGCAGCAGUGAGGAAUAUUGGACAAUGGGCGCAAGCCUGAUCCAGCCAUGCCGCGUGCAGGAUGACGGUCCUAUGGAUUGUAAACUGCUUUUGCACAGGAAGAAACAACGCUACGUGUAGCGUCUUGACGGUACUGUGAGAAUAAGGAUCGGCUAACUCCGUGCCAGCAGCCGCGGUAAUACGGAGGAUCCAAGCGUUAUCCGGAGUCAUUGGGUUUAAAGGGUCCGUAGGCGGUCUUAUAAGUCAGUGGUGAAAUCUCCCCGCUCAACGGGGAAACGGCCAUUGAUACUGUAGGACUUGAAUUAUUAGGAAGUAACUAGAAUAUGUAGUGUAGCGGUGAAAUGCUUAGAGAUUACAUGGAAUACCAAUUGCGAAGGCAGGUUACUACUAAUGGAUUGACGCUGAUGGACGAAAGCGUGGGUAGCGAACAGGAUUAGAUACCCUGGUAGUCCACGCCGUAAACGAUGGAUACUAGCUGUUGGGCGCAAGUUCAGUGGCUAAGCGAAAGUGAUAAGUAUCCCACCU
rnacentral:rRNA from 1 species